GCCUCAGUGGCUCAGUCAGUACAGCGUGUGACUCUGGAUCUCAGGGUCGUGAGUUCAAGUCCCACUCUGGGUG
rnacentral:tRNA from 1 species